rnacentral:rRNA from 1 species
GACGUAGGUGGCGAACGUUAUCCGGAAUUAUUGGGCGUAAAGGGUGCGUAGAUGGCCUGAUAAGUUAGCAGUGGGAAAUCGAGGCUCAACCUCGUGGAAGCUGGUAAUACUGUCAGGCUCGAGUGCAGGAGAGGUUAACGGAACUCCAUGUGGAGCGGUAAAAUGCAUAGAUAUGUCACAGAACACCAAUUGCGAAGGCAGCUUACUAAGCUAUGAUUGACGCUGAGGCACGAAAGCGUGGGGAUCAAACAGG